GCAGCUGCGGCGCCGAGAGCCCGACGUACUCCUGCAGCUCCCGCAGCCCCAGCCGCCCGCCAUGGGAGCACAGCGUCUGGGUGGAGGACAGCCCAGCAGCUGGAAUUACAGGAGAGGAAGGGAGAAGAGAAGGAGAAAGAUACACCUGGAAUGGCAAAUUCUCCCAACAGUGCCAAGAAGGAGAGCUGUGAUGAGUCCUCUGGGCCCUUUCCCAGGACACUCCCUGCCCCUCCACUGCCCCCCUCCUCCCUCUUUCCCACAGCACUGCAAUUUUUAAAUUUUGACUCCCUUGUAUCUCCUUUCUCCAUCUUUCUCUGAGCGGUUCCCUGUCCCUGUAUUUGCCCUAUAAUCCCUGGCUGCUUCUUCCUUUGCUGUCUCUCUGUCUCUGGCUCCCAGGCAGUAUUUUGGAGUUCUUCCCUCUCUGUCCUGGAGCCUGUUAGUGUUUCUCCUAUCUCUGUGUCUCUCUGUCCGGCAGAUUGUCCCUGUUCAAGGUUUUUCUGCUUGGCUCUGUAGCACGGAGUGAGUCUAUUUCUGUCUCUCUCUCUUUGCUCUGCUCCCUGCCCUUCAUUUUGAAAUCCUCCCUCUCUGUCCUGUGGCCUACUGUGUUCUUUCUCUGUCUCUCCUUUUUCUGGUUCCCAGUCCCUAUUUAUCAAUUACUUCUUUCUCUUUCAGUCUGGGCUGGAUCACAAUCUUUAAUUCCUCCUUUCUUUCCCUGAGGUCCAUCUUUCUUUCUCUUGCCCACCUUGGGUUCUCUGUCCCUGUUUUAAUUCCUCUCUCCCUGCUGUGCUUCCUGUGCAGGUGAUCCUGUGUCAGGUCUUUAUCCUAUCUUUUAAUUUCUUACUCUCCCUCUGUUAGCCCAUUGCUGUCAUACUGUUUUGCCAUCUCCGUGUUCAGCUCCAUAUUCCUGUUUUUCCCUUCUCCUCUCUCUGCACCCUGUUGCCCCUGGCUGUUUUUAAUUUCUCCAUCUCUCUCUGCCUGGCUCCAGCUCCAGCUCCCUGUUUCUUCAUUCCUUCCUCUCUGUCUUGUAGCCCAUCAGUAUUUUUAAUUUCUCUGACUCUCUUUGUCCUGCUCCCUGUGGUUCAGUUUCUUCCUUCUCAGCCCUGUGGACAGUGUGAUGCUGGUUCCUUCUCUGCCUCUCCUUUUCCAUUUCCCUGUUGCUUGCUUUGAAUCCCAUGCACUCCCUGCAUCUUAUUUCUUCCCACCCCCGUGUUUUAAUUCCUCCCUUCCUGCUGCACAGCCCGUUGCUUUUUCCUUUUUUCAUCUCUCUCCAUCCAUCUUGCUGUGCCCACUUUUUAAUCCUUCCCCUCUGCUCUGUACCCUGCUGCUAUUUUUCCCCUUUUUGCAUCUGUUUGUCCAGCUGCCUAUCCCUAGAGGUUCAUUCUGCCCUCUUCCUCCUGCACCCACCGCUGUUCCCCACCAUCGCCAUCCCUCUCUGCUCCCAGUGCCUCUGUGGCCAGCUUUCUGUGUCUGGUAACUAAUUGCUCUCUAGAUCCCGACUUUUCUCUCCGCUCACUCUUAGGACAAGGCUGGGAUAUGGAUGGGGUCUGCGUCCCGUCUGCCACCCGCUGACGGAUCUCGGUACUGCUGCUGCCUCCGCCACGCCCGGGAUCCAGCACAUGCGGACGAUCGAUGGGGAAACUGCAACGGGCUGAGGUAAUUGGGAUGCAAAGAAAAACGGAUCUGUGCCGCAGGAAUCCCGAGGGAAUGCAAAGUGUGAUUAAAACUGGGGUGGCAACUCAGCAUCCGAACUCAGGGGCACAUCCAGGCUCUCCUGUCCCAGGUUUUGAUGGCAGACACAUAUACCUUGUGAAGCACAAGGAUUCAGCCUGGAAUCACAAAGCAUCAUGUCAUCAGCGUCAGAAAAUGGCUUAAGGAGCAGUACCCCCAAAGUCCAACCUUGGCAUCAAGAGGCAGUAGAUUUACUUGCACAGAUAUUGUCACCUGAAGACACACUUUUCCUGUCCAAAGAGGAAGCAAAGGUGUGUGAGGCAGAUGAAGGAGCUCAGAGCACUCGUGCAGAUGGAGGACGGUGCUGUUGACAGCGGCCAGAGGGUGGUAGCACUGCACAGCUCCUACUACUCUAUCCUCCUCAAACUACGGUUAAAAAUAGCGGCAUUUCUUCAUUUCUUGUGAGGAAAAGAAGAAAAAAGAGCUGACAGGACUUGUUCAAGCUGCCCUUCCUGCUCCUCCUCCGUGGGUGCCCUCUCAGCCUGCUUUGAUGGGUACAACCCAAGAUGGAGCCUUUGCCUUCCUUGGCGGCGGCUGCAGGGACAGCUCUGGUGAGGGUGGCCUUGAAGUGGGAAGGGGCAGUGAACCACAUGCUGGGAAGGCACCAGUGGUGAUCCCACCACUGUCGAAGUAACAAACCAGGUCAGGCCUUGGCACACAGGUCCACCCACCUCAGCACCUCUUCCCAAGCUAAUAUUGGGGUCAGCUCAAAUUUCCGGUCUUAAUUAUGCCACUCCCUACAUGCACCAAAGAAAACCAUCAGCAAUCUGGGCUGAUUACUACCUCUUUCCUGGGAGAGGGCAAUCUGUUUGCUCUGAUGGAGGUUGCAGAAUGUGCAGUGCCUUAAAAAGCUGCAGACAACCCUUCUGGGUGCAGAUUUGCCUUUGGGAAUGGGAGACAUCAGAAAUAAAGGCCACUUCAGAUCAGGACAUUCCAAACCCAACAGGAACAGAAAAGUUAUUUAUCUUUUGUAUUCUUCACUAAUAUCUUUUUCUUUGGAGUGUAUCUGUCGGUAUCUGAGCUUAAAGUAUAAAAAGAUAUGAAGAUGGAGUAAGACGUAUGAGUGGAAACUGCUGCUCAGCCAGGGAGAGGCUACUAACUCUCCAUAAUGCAUGCACUCUAAACUACAUCCAUAAAUGCCAGGCAUGAUUUAAUAGGCUAUAAAAUCCUACAUCAUGAUGCCACUGGAACUAUUGAAAAUAAAAGCAGAUAAAUCACAAUUCUGUGCAACAAGCUGUACUCGCAUUGCUAUUUUUUUUUCACCUACCAGGGUUUCAUUGUACCAUUUGCUGAGCAUACACAACUCUCAGCCUUGAGUUUCCAUUUCCUUCUCCAUUUCCAAGCUUGAAUUUUCACAUCAGCCCACUGGCUCUGCAGCUGUGUGGUCACACUGCU